rnacentral:rRNA from 1 species
AACGAACGCUGGCGGCAUGCCUAACACAUGCAAGUCGAACGAGACCUACGGGACUAUUCGCGUCUGGGUGUGUAAGGCGAGGGAUCCUUCCCGCAGGUUUGGACUACCCCCCCGAAGGGGGCGCUAAUUGCGGAUAAUGUCUUCGGACCAAUGAUUUAUCGCCUUUGGAUGGGCCCGCGUUGGAUUAGCUUGUUGGUAGGGUAAAAGCCUACCAACGCGUCGAUCCAUAGGUGGUAUGAGAGGAUGAACAGCCACAAUGGGACUGCGACACGGCCCAGACUCCCACGGGAGGGAGCAGUGGGGGAUAAUGGACAAUGGGGGGAAGCCUGGUCCAGCAAUGGCGCGUGAGAGAUGAAGGCCUUAGGGUUGUAAAGCUCUUUUACCCGGGAUGAUAAUGACAGGACCGGGAGAAGAAGCUCCGGCUAACCCCGUG